rnacentral:lncRNA from 1 species
CUACUGGGACAUUUUAUUUGAUCAUAGAUUAAAUUAAAAGCUGGGGUAUGGUUGUUAAGCUGGCAGACUUUGCAACUUGUCACGAUACUGCUGGCCGUCUCAGCUGUAUGUCUGAUUUUGAGCUUGGAGCGUCUGAUCAGGUCUUUCAUCCACUGGGCCCCCAGGUGGGUGGUUCGGUGGAUGUGUUCUAAUACCUGUUGUCCUAAUUUUUCUGGUAGGAUGGUUUGGUCAUUAGUAUCAGUCCACCACCCAUUCUGGAUUUGUUUCAGGGGAAGUUUGUCAAUCCACUGGAGAUCUUGUUCUGAAUAUUCAGGGAAAUAUGGCAAGUCCCGGGGGCCCGGGUCAGGGAGCUGGAGUGCAAGGAGUUGGCUGGGAGCCUUCACCACAUUCCUUGCAGUUUGGUCUGCCAGAAAGUUGCCUUGAGCAGUUGGAGUAGUUAGUUUCUGAUGCCCUGGGCAAUGUACAAUGGCUAAUUUUUCUGGCCUACAUAGGGCUGUUAGCAGGGCUAGGAUCUCUUGCUUGUUUUUUAUCUCUUUUCCUUCAGUCGUCAGUAACCCUCGCUCCCUGUAAAUGGCCCCAUGUAUAUGCGCCAUUGCAAAAGCAUAUCGGCUGUCUGUAUAU